AUGCACGCUGGCGGCGUGCCUAAUACAUGCAAGUCGAGCGAACAGACGAGGAGCUUGCUCCUCUGACGUUAGCGGCGGACGGGUGAGUAACACGUGGAUAACCUACCUAUAAGACUGGGAUAACUUCGGGAAACCGGAGCUAAUACCGGAUAAUAUAUUGAACCGCAUGGUUCAAUAGUGAAAGACGGUUUUGCUGUCACUUAUAGAUGGAUCCGCGCCGCAUUAGCUAGUUGGUAAGGUAACGGCUUACCAAGGCGACGAUGCGUAGCCGACCUGAGAGGGUGAUCGGCCACACUGGAACUGAGACACGGUCCAGACUCCUACGGGAGGCAGCAGUAGGGAAUCUUCCGCAAUGGGCGAAAGCCUGACGGAGCAACGCCGCGUGAGUGAUGAAGGUCUUCGGAUCGUAAAACUCUGUUAUUAGGGAAGAACAAAUGUGUAAGUAACUAUGCACGUCUUGACGGUACCUAAUCAGAAAGCCACGGCUAACUACG
rnacentral:rRNA from 1 species